GAUUUUCAACCCUAAACCCUAUUUUUUAUUCAUUUUCUCUCUCCUCCCUUCUUUUCUUUUUCUUUUUCUUUUUCUUUUCUUUUCUUCUUUCUUUCUCUCUCUUUCUACCUCUUCUUCUCCCUUGUAACUCUCGGCACUCUCUCUCCCUAUAACCCUCCCUCUCUCAAACUCUCUUCUCACUCUCUCAAUCUCUCAUCCCUCUAUAUCUCUCCCUCAUCUCCAGCAAGGACGAACCCAACCCACCUAACCUCACCAUAUCUUCAUCACCGACGAAGACCUACCCAAGCAAAGCCACCGUCUCCAUAGCCAAGCUCGUUUUCAUCUCCCUGGCCCUAUCUCUCUUGGAUUCUCUCAUCCUCAUUGUCUCUGGCAGAUGUAGGCCAAGAAGACCCCGAUCUCUCACUCUGGUGUCGUCUGCAAUUUUCGGCGAACUUCCAGUGAGGUUCCGGUCACCACUUCCGGCCAAGAUUAGGCCGGAAUUCUUCAUUUCAUCUCGAAUCUCUCCGUUUCAAUCCUCUAUUCCAUCUUUUGGAUCGGCCUCCUCAAUCUCCUCCGAUAGAGUCUUCUUCAUCUUCCUAGGCUACACCAUCUGCAUCAGCUCAUUUCGAGCCAGCUUUUAUGGAGGAGCAAAGCCCAGUUGUCAGAGCAGUACCUAGACCAUUUUUCUCUAACAGGAAGCUUAAACUAGAGUUCAAAUUCGACCAUGCUCAAUUUUCCAAGUUGGAGCAGACCAAGUGGUCUUUUGAUAAGCUCACCCGAAGGGGCAUUGAUGCCCUUAUGACUCUGGUAGACAUUGUAGUCUAUCCUCGGUUGGUUGCUCUAUUCUUCGAGUACCUCCGGAUCGAUGAGGAUAACAGACAGCUUAUGCAUACAACUAUAGAUGGUAUGAUAUCAACAAUUAUAUCCCUGACAUUUCUGUUAUUUGUCGAUGCCCCACCUUCCACCGUUGGUCGCUAACUCUAAGGAGCCAUUUUAUCCCAUUAUUCCGAAGUACCCCUCUAAGUUAACCAUGGUUGCGACUAUAUCUCCGUAUGCUGCCUUUGAGGGUAAUACAUUUGCAGACCGGAUUGAGAUUGAUCCCCGAUACUUGUUUCAAGAUUUUUUGCUACAUCUCAAUGCCUUUCCCUCAGGCCAUGGUACACAGAGACGGGAGGGGAUUUUUAGGGCUCUUUACUAUUUGAGCCAAGGAAACUGGAUCUCCAUUCCCGCUCUUAUCCGGGAGAUUAUCAACAAAUACUGGGCCAACAUGAUGAACAUGCACAAUUCUAGAGCUGAUGCUUAGCCACUACCAUUUGGCCACUUGAUUACACAGUUGUUGAUUGACCAGGGCUAUCCCUUUGAACCGGAUGAGAUUCCUGAGACUGAUGUGUAGAGAGCUAGGAGAGCAUAUAACAUUACAAAAUGGAAUAAGACUUUAAAUUUUUGUAGAAAGAAUACAGAUCAGAAGAGGAAGCAAGAUCAGGAGAGAGCUUAGGAGGAUGCAGCGGCAGCGGAGGCAGCUGAGGGACUUGAUGGAUCACCUCUUUAGACAGAGGCGUCGUACUACUACUUCCGCAUCCACCUCACAGCCAGAUAUACCCCUUCCAUCCCAGCAAGCCGACCCUUCACAUGUUCCUUCUCCAGAGCAGAUGCCACAGGCUGAUUCUCGAUCCCAUUAUGCUAGUUUUGAUUUCAGCUACAAAGUUGACAUAGUUCAGCUAUAGACAGACUUUAUUUCUUUUAGAGCUGACAUGACUGGGCGGCAUGGGGACAUCACGAGGAGUCAUGAUGACCUGGUGCAGAGACAUGAUGAUAUGGUGAGGUGACAUGAGGAUAUGGUUCGGCGAUCUGAUGAGCUGAGGACUGAGGUUACCGAGGUGAAGAGAGACAUUGCUACACUACGGGCAGAUUUACAGACUGAUCUCACUCGAUACAACAAGUAGAUGUCCGAUAUGCUACAGCACAUUGCCGACAUGAUGACGCCUGAUCCUGCUCCUUAAUUCCACCAUUAUCUCUAUCUCUAUCCCUAUCUGUAUUAAUCAUACCUGCGCUGAUACAUUGAUAUUUUGAUACAUUGCUAUUUUGGGAUAUUUUUGUACUGUUUUGAUAUUUGCACUGGUUUUUGAUACUUUGGAUAUUUUUGCACUGCAUUGGAUAUAUUUAAUUUUUGGAUAUUUGGUUUUGGAUUUC